UACGUAGGACCCACGCGUUAUUCGGAAUUACUGGGCGUAAAGAGUUGCGUAGGUGGCAUAGUAAGUGGAUAGUGAAAUCGUGUGGCUCAACCAUAUAAACAUUAUCUAAACUGCUAAGCUAGAGUGAGAUAGAGGUAACUGGAAUUCCAAGUGUAGGAGUGAAAUCCGUAGAUAUUUGGAGGAACACCGAUGGCGUAGGCAGGUUACUGGAUCUCAACUGACACUGAGGCACGAAGGCGUGGGGAGCAAACGGG
rnacentral:rRNA from 1 species